ensembl:lncRNA
CUGCCUAUCCUCACCAUUGUUCCUAGAACCCGACCUGCGUGCCUCUACCCUUCCCACCUCUACCACUUCAUCUUCUGGUUGCCUAUUCGGCAUCACCUAUACCCAACCCCCUCAGAGUGCGUUCCGAGGAGGCAGAGGUGACGCCCUCGGCUCCUAGACCAUUUCCUUGGACUCCUGUGGUACAGGCUUGUCUGCGUGACACUCUGCUGUGGCCCACCUGGAUCUUCAGUCUGUGGGCCCCCCUGUGCUACACUGUUAAACUGGAAGCCAUCCACCCUCACCAUCAGCAGCCAGGUACUGGGAACCAUUCUCCACUGGUGUCUUCAUUCUGGAAUGAUGAUGACCGCCUCACCCGAAGCUUGUCUUUAAGGAAUCAUCUGUGUUAGGCUUCAUGCACAGACUCAAGAGGCCAGAGCUGGAUGCCAGGGACCUGACUUCUCUUAGCCCCUUGUACUGUGGAGCCAAUAGACUUUGCUGAGUGUGAUCUGAAGGAGUGGCUGAAGGGUUCUCAGAACCUUGUCCUGACCAGCGGGCA